AUUUUCUUAGUAUACAAGUACUAGUGACUUCCAAUCAUUCAGCCUCGGUUAAACCCCGGGAGAAAAUA
rnacentral:tRNA from 1 species